GGGAGAGCGCUUGCAUGGCAUGCAAGAGGUCAGCGGUUCGAUCCCGCUUACCUCCA
rnacentral:tRNA from 1 species